rnacentral:lncRNA from 1 species
CCCCUAAAGACUCUGACUUUCCAACCACUGAGCCCUCAUCACCGACCUCCUUAUCACCCUUAUCCCUCGUCGGAGAGACGGGUGAAUCCGGCGGCACAGCCGAAUCCAUCCUCAAAAUCUUAACACUCGAAAUCGCCUUUAAAAUCGCACUUUACCAAAACGGAGCGUUUAAUGAAUUUAUUUAAAAUAACACCAUUCAGUAGGUUGAUUUUCAACGAAGUGCAAGAGACAUCAUACAAAAUUACAACCUUUAAAUCCACGAAAGAGGACCCUAUCGAUUCUGACUUAAAACUAACGGUGGCAAAGCGUAAUCCCCCCCCCCCUCCCUCUCCCACUCAAACA